UACGAAGGGGGCUAGCGUUGCUCGGAAUCACUGGGCGUAAAGGGUGCGUAGGCGGAUCUUUAAGUCAGGGGUGAAAUCCUGGAGCUCAACUCCAGAACUGCCUUUGAUACUGAGGAUCUCGAGUUCGGGAGAGGUGAGUGGAACUGCGAGUGUAGAGGUGAAAUUCGUAGAUAUUCGCAAGAACACCAGUGGCGAAGGCGGCUCACUGGCCCGAUACUGACGCUGAGGUGCGAAAGCGUGGGGAGCAAACAGGG
rnacentral:rRNA from 1 species